UCCGGUUUAGCGGUAUUUGCUCGAUGCACUCACCUACUGUCCACCUAACCACGGGAGAGAAACAUUUUGAAUGGAGUUAACGGAACGUACGGCGUGUGCCAAGCAGGGCAACCCGAUGCGUAGGAAUCAGCCGGGUUCGGUAUGGCUUAUAAAACGAUGUUGUGACGUAGCCUAAGCCGUAGGAUGUUCCAAAGGCAAAGAAAGCUCAUUCUAGUUACGAUAAGGACAGUAAAUAGUACUGUUCACCCGUAUAGUAUUAUUGCAUUGUACCUAAUAUUUCAACCCAUUAGACAUGACAUGUAUAAAAUAAACAGAUGUAAUGAUUUUGUUAUCUAUUUUCGCCAACCCAACCCAUUAUCAGAAAUUUCCUAAUAUUCCCAAUUGGUUCUUAUCAAACGAUAGCCUGAUAGACAGUUAACAUUAAUGCUCUAGACAAUGGCUUUAUUUGAUAAGGGUCUAUAAAGAGUUAUCUGAAUACACACCGUCUAUAUAUGCCAUGUCAGUAAAAGUUAUAUAUUUCUUCUUGUUAGGGAAAGUAUGAUUGAUGUGUGGUAGUAUAUUACAAGUAGGUGUUUUUUUUUUUCGUGAUAUCUGUUACUAGCCUGUCGUCAGUCGUAUAAACAAUGCCAUCUUUAUUAACCCGUUUGUCUGUUACCGAUGACCGAUAAGCCGUAAGAACGAUAAAGUUUCAUGAUUCGCUGAUUUCAAGAGCCCUGUAUUUGUCACACCUUUCGUUGUCAUUUUUUUCCUCGUGCUAAAAGUGCUUGGAAAUAUUUUAUUUUAAUUUGUAAAUCUGUAAAAUCUUUGACUAGCAGAAAAACCGACGAGAUAUGACUUUUACCAAAUAUGUUUUCGUCUUUAUUUGUUACAUAGACGACGCCCGUCGACUACAGUUUAGAAUCUUCAUAACUUUUCAAUUUUGCAAGUAAUCGCAUUUAAACUUCGCAAAUUUCCUAGAUGCACCGAUUUAGUCUCUUUUUUUUUUAUUUUUAUGCAAUUCUAGCAUGAUUAAUGUGUUUACUCGAAGAUCCAGGGCAUGCGUGCUAUGAAGUGUUCGCACCGUAUGCAGUUAUGAGGGAUGGUGUGAACUAGGCGAUUGUCGUGUGUCUUAUAUCGACUAUCAAGAUUAUGUCAGCGUACAUCGCUCAUAUCGAUACUACAUUUGUCGUGUUAAUAACAAAGUAUGUUAAUCCAUAUUCGUAUACAUAGCAUUGGUUUACUAAUACACCCGCGUUUCACAUGCAAGUUGCCAAUUAUGAAGUGAAACACAAUAGUGUUGGAGAAAAGGUGCAAGCGCAUUCUUAUGGAUAUAGCCUUGAAAACAUACAGCGUCUAAAAUUACUUACAUCUUGAAUAUUUCAUGACUCUAGCCUUAGAAUCAAUCAAACCUGCGUUGUUUUUAAAACCUCGGUUCGUACAAAUCAAUUGUAAAAUUCCUGUGUAAAACUCCGACAAACUAUUUUCAGCAGUUUUCGUGAGGAGUGUUUAAGGGGACGGUGAGGCGGCGCUCGCGUGGGCUUGCUCUACAUAAUUACAAUGUCGUCGUACCUUAUCCCUGAUGAAUCGAUGCACAGCAUGGACUCAUACCAAAAUAUCGAACCUGAAAAUAAUAAUAACCUACUUUAACUAAGGCUUCAGUGAUUCACCAUCCAAGACUACCAUAAUCAAAUAACAUGUUCAUGCUUCUCAAAAAUAUCCUUUAGCCCUAAUUCUCUUCUCCAAAUUGUUGAAUGUUUUUGGAAGGUCUCUACUGUAGUUUUCACACACUAAAACAGCUCUUCGUCAUAACCAGAAAUGUAACUUCUAUGCAUCAUCUUUUAAUCAAAAUGAUCUUUCAUCUUUGCUCAGCAGAAACAAAUAAAAUCAUACAUGCCCCUAGCAGGCUUCGCCCACUUGCACACAAUUAACAAAAUCCGCCAAGUUAACAAUAAAUCGCAACAAGGACUCUUUAUAAUUACUUUAAAGCUCGCAAUAGAAUUUCUCAGUGAAAUUCGAUUAGCAAAACCCAUAGCACGAACCAUAGCGUUUGGCAGCAAAGCGCGAAAAACGCUUCACGGUGCGAAUUUGCAACUAUCUAGUUCAGGAAUAAAAGAAAGGAAGGGUAUAGUUUGAAGGUAGCGUGUAGAGGGCGUAGUAGCCGUGACAUCAUGCUAGCAGUACCUGCUCCUUGUUGGCAGGUAACUUAUCAAACCUCAAAUAAACACUACCAGGCUUCCAGCCGAACUCGCUGGCUCUACUCACCGGAGUGUAUCGAAUGUGAAUAUCGAAGUGUUACAUACUCCAGGUCAUGGUUCCCUAUCUUGUGUUAGACGGUGGGAGCGUUGUAGAUCGUUUUUCGCAUUCAAAACGGACUUUUCUCUCGUUGCGCGAAUUUGAGACAUAAGGCAUAAAUCAUUAAUUGAGAAAAGGCGCUUAGAUAUGUGUACCCACUCCCCAAGAUGGGUUUUAGUCACGCGGUGGUUUACUAUCGCUUAGUACUGGGUCGAGCGACGUUUUUGAUUUGGGAUUUAUGUGAUUUCCGAUUAUAAGGUUAGUAGAUACAGUAGAACCAUUUUUUUUUUUUCGGGAACCCAACAAUACAAUUGAUUACACAAUAUAGAAACAAAUAAUUUGUUUUGAAACGUACACUUGAUCUUAAAGGAAAAAAAACAAUACAAACAUUACAAAUAUCGAUUUUCAAAGAUGCAAAUAUUCAGUUUACCAUACUGUUGAUCAUUAAACCAUAGAACCAACAUCUCUCUGUUGUCUAUAAUAGCCUCCAUUCAGCUCCAAAAUUGUUUACACCUAGUUUGAAAAUCGCCCGUUCGACUCGAAAGCAAUUUCAUACUUGAACUCAAAAGCUUUCGUUUCACAUGUUCCACAAGUUUGUAAAAUUAAUAUUAAUUUCAAUAUUACAAAAUUUAAGUUUUGUUCCCUAGAUUGGGAGCCCUGUGUUACAACAGCUCUACCGCCAUCUUGGAUUACGUGAGCUAUCGGUAGAUAGCGACUUUUCGGGUCCUCCCGACAUCUCCUAACUUCAUCUGUGAAACCCGCGGAUGAAUCCAUCGACAGUUGCAUGAGCCGAGUUUAUGUACGCAGUACGGAUUAUUUAUAUGGGGAACUGAGCUUCUAGGAACGGACCACAAGACUCUUCGCGCGCGCGGCCAAUCAAUCGUAUCGCACGAAACCUCCGAGAUCAACCGCGAAUUAGAACGGUGUUUUUAAUCCAUAGAAAUCCAAACCAUCUUAGCAUUGUAAACUUUUCUUUCAUCUUUUAAGUAAUAGUUAUCAUUUUUUGUAUAUCUCUGGACAUAAAGUGUCGAGCAAAGUUGAAAGCUGGACGGAUUCUCAAGGCGUUUUUGUCUUGUAAUGGCCGAGUCAAAUGCUCGAGAGAAGCGACCUCUUAAAAAGAGAGGCGGGCGACCGAAAAGACCAGAAAAAAUCAAAACUAUUUAUCUAAGAGAAUCUGUCAGAGAACUCUGGAGAGCACGUAAGACUUCGAAGGGCUUAGAACGACUGACCGACAGCGAGUUUGCCGAAGUUUUACUCAACCAAUGUCCAAGUCAAGUGGAUAAGAUCGACUUUAGACUUCAACAUCCAACGAUCCAACUUCACCAGACAGUUUUGCAUUCCUGGAGGACUAUCAGGGACUCAGGGCCUUUUUCAAGCGACACUUCUCUGGCGGCCUAUCUGUUGAGCCUCGAGUUGAAACGAAGAGAGCAGCUUGGAUACCACUCAAUCAAGAGAUGAUGUCAGUGUUGACAUAAACGAUUUAUCAGACCCUGCUGUGAUUGUAACAACAACAAAAGGACAAGACACUAAUCUUGCUAAACAAGUACUAAAAGCAGAAGGAGACAGUGGAAGUGCGAGUGAGGAUGAGCUAGUUGAUGUAGAUGACACAGUAAUGCCUAGGGUAUCUAGUGAUGGUAAAGACAAGCUUAUUGAUGUAGAUGAUACAACUGGUGCCUCCAGUGAGAGUGAAGGAGACAGUGAAAAUAUGUUUGUCAACAUAGAUGUUUGAACUUAGCUACAGCAUCAUCUGGAAGGCUUACAGAAACAAACUGUAGCCAUUUUUUUCACUGAGUGAGGCAAGCUAGUUGAUGUGGGUGAUACAACUGGUGCCUCUAGUAAGAGUGAAGGAGACAGUGAAAAUGAGUUUGUCAACAUAGAUGUUUGAACUUAGCUACAGCAUCAUCUGGGAGGCUUACAGAAACAAACUGAGUGCUACUGAGUGAAGCAAGCUAGUUGAUGUGGGUGAUAAAGUAUUUUUCUAGUGAGAUGUUUGAACCUAGCCCCGAUUACAACAAGAGGGUUUUUAAGAGCAAACUUUGCCCUCUUCACCCCACUAAGUGAACAAAAAAAUAGUUGAUGUAAAUAUUAAAUGUGUAUUACCCGCCUGCUAUAGUAAGGGUGAUGGACAGAGUGAACAAGAGUUUGUCAACCUAGAUGGAUUCCACAGUCACAACAAAAGACAAACUAUUCCCAUUUUACCCCCACCCACAUACCCCAAUGAAUAAAGAUGAGCUAGGUGGCCCUGUAGUGAGUAAUUAGGAAAGUGAACAGGAUUUAAUCAAAACAGAUAUUUGGACCUAGUCAUGAUAGUAACAAGUGGACAGCCUAAAAUACUGGUGAUAGCCUUUAAGUAUGGACCUUCAAGAAGCUACUGUAUUUAGACUAAAAUACUGGUGAUAGCCUUUAAGUAUGGACCUUCAAGAAGCUACUGUAUUUAGACUAAAAUACUGGUGAUAGCCUUUAAGUAUGGACCUUCAAGAAGCUACUGUAUUUAGACUAAAAUACUGGUGAUAGCCUUUAAGUAUGGACCUUCAAGAAGCUACUGUAUUUAGACUAAAAUACUGGCGAUAGCCUUUAAGUAUGGACCUUCAAGAAGCUACUGUAUUUAGACUAAAAAGAAAAACUUAGGUUUUAAUACACAGUUUAAAACUGUAGCAGAUUGUGUUCAGAAGUCAAGGAAACACCCUUUUUAUUUCAAAAUGCCAUGUUAUAAUGACUCCAAUACAGGCAUGUCAGCUACCCACCUAUACGUGAAACAAAGGUCAGAAAUGAUGGAGUUGGAAAUUCUUAUAUAAUCAGAGCAGUUAUAACAAAACAUGUGGUUCUCCAAUGUAAAUAAGAGUUGAAUUUUGCUGUGUGAAGAUGUUUAGCAUCUUGGAAUGGC